AGUGAACGCUGGCGGUAGGCCUAACACAUGCAAGUCGAACGGCAGCACAGUAAGAGCUUGCUCUUACGGGUGGCGAGUGGCGGACGGGUGAGGAAUACAUCGGAAUCUACUUUUUCGUGGGGGAUAACGUAGGGAAACUUACGCUAAUACCGCAUACGACCUACGGGUGAAAGCAGGGGAUCUUCGGACCUUGCGCGAUUGAAUGAGCCGAUGUCGGAUUAGCUAGUUGGCGGGGUGAAGGCCCACCAAGGCGACGAUCCGUAGCUGGUCUGAGAGGAUGAUCAGCCACACUGGAACUGAGACACGGUCCAGACGCCGACGGGAGGCAGCAGUGGGGAAUAUUGGACAAUGGGCGCAAGCCUGAUCCAGCCAUACCGCGUGGGUGAAGAAGGCCUUCGGGUUGUAAAGCCCUUUUGUUGGGAAAGAAAAGCAGCAGGUUAAUACCCCGCUGUUCUGACGGUACCCAAAGAAUAAGCACCGGCUAACUUCGUG
rnacentral:rRNA from 1 species